rnacentral:rRNA from 1 species
GACGAACGCUGGCGGCGUGCCUAACACAUGCAAGUCGAACGAAGUGGCGAACGGGUGAGUAACGUGUAAUCAACCUGCCCUUCAGUGGGUGACAACAGUUGGAAACGACUGCUAAUACCGAAUAAUUAAGCAGGGGUUUGCGUUUGAUUAGCUAGUUGGAGGGGGAACGGCCGACCAAGGCGAGUAUCCGUAGCCGGUCUGAGAGGGUGAACGGCCACAUUGGGACUGAGACACGGCCCAGACUCCUACGGGAGGCAGCAGUGGGGAAUCUUCCGAAAUGGGCGAAAGUCUGACGGAGCAACGCCGCGUGAGUGAUGACGGCCUUCGGGUUGUAAAGCUCUGUUAAUCGGGACGCGGUACCGGAAUAGAAAGCCACGGCUAACUACGUGCCAGCAGCCGCGGUAAUAC